GCUGUCUUUCUUCUCGCUUUAAUCAUCUCCUUCUCUCCCUUCUUCUCUCUUUCUCUCGAGCCAAAGGAGACAAGCUCCACCUACUGGCAAGCAGGAAACAUACAGAGAGGGGAGCAGGAGAAACAGCAGGAGGUCUGCACAGACUGAGAAGCUGCUUGGACCCCACGAGACCCUGCAGAUGGGACAGCUUGUGCCAUACCGUGGGCCGCCACAUCCAGACGAUGAGGUCAAAGCACAGAGUCGGCUGCAGAAGUGAAGAGCACCCCCGAGCUGCGAGGGGCUUCAAUGUCAGGCUGAAGGACACUUUUGAUACACGCUGACAUGAGAGGGUGUCAACCUGUGUCCUCUGACUGAAGGAUACUUCACCAUGCUCUCUGAGACUAAUCCAAACUUAAUUACAUUGAUUUAUUCCUUAAUAUGGAUUCCAUUUACUAGGAACAUACAACUCUUCUUUCUCUGUGACCUUGAGUACUGAAGUGGCCGAGACACUAUGAAAUAAUUGCUGUCUGACAAUUAAAA